CUGACGUCUUUGGGGAUAUGGUCAUAAAAUUGUUCUAAGGAUAUAAUUUGGAUGGCAUCCUCCAAUGUAGUGGCCUGGCACACCUGCAUCCAGCGUUGGGCCACCUGCCACUCUGUGAAGGAGUCUCGGCCUCCUUUUCUGAGUGCCCGAAAUUUUCUCCAGUACUCCUCAGGUGUGACUGGAAAUCUGACCAGUAAAAUCUCUUUGAUAUUGUCAUAGUUUUGAAUGUCCUCAUCAGGUACGGCACGGUAGGCAUCCGCUGCCCGUCCUGAGAGCUUGCUGCUGAGAACCGCUGCCCAAUUAUCUGCUUCUAGUCCUUGCAAUGUAC